GCGCCUGUAGCUCAGUUGGAUAGAGCAACGGACUUCUAAUCCGUAGGUCGGGUGUUCGAGUCACCCCAGGCGUACCA
rnacentral:tRNA from 1 species